AAGGAAUGUACUCAGCCAAAGAGCUUGGCGUCCCCUGGUGGCCAUGGAAACACAGCGCCUGCACCCCACCCCCACCCCCGGCCAGGAUCUGCAGCGGGCAGAGAAGCCCGCGCUGGACGUCGCCCUCCUGGUACCAAAGAUUAAACCCAGCGACUAGGACAUGCUGGGCAAGCCCUCUACACCUGAGCUACGCUCCAGACCUUUUAAUUUGAGACAGGAUCUCACCAAAUUGCCCAGGCUGCCCUUGAAUUUGAGCCGCUUCCAUGUCAGUCCUCCAAGCACCUGGGACUGCAGGUGUGCACCAGCACAGCUGGCUUUAAGCAUCUUGCCUGACUCCCAAAGGAUCAUACAGUCAUUUCAAGUUAUGAUUAUGAAGAUCAACGAAGCAACAUGGAAAAAUCUUAUGAUGUAAAGUGAAGAAUGCAGGAAUCCAACCAUCUUGGAAUAUGAACCGACCUUAAGGAUGAACAAAAAAAGAAAAUGAGCCAGGAUUUCUAAUGAUGUAGUAGAGCUGCCCUACCAGUUUGACUCCUUUCCUCUCAGGUUGCUUUUACAUUUUACAUAUCUCGCUUUAAGGCAAGUAUUUGGGA